UAUUGUAAAUAAAUUAAUAUAUAAUACAUUAAUUAAUAAUAUUUUAUUAUCAAAUAAGUAGAGAUUUAAGGCGUGCCAUCCUCUUAACGAGUUAUCCUAGCAUAACCCGUUAUAAGAGGACCUAGUUUUUUUUUUUUUUUGGAGGGGAAGGGGAAGGUGGAAUAAGGGGGGGAAUAACGCUUUUAUUACUCUUAUUAGUUUUCGAAAUAAACAAUGCAUAAGAAGUGUGCUGUACCUGCAUAGGGUGGUUCAAUUUGGCUCAUGGGUACUAUAGUUCCAUGCAAAGGCGACACUCGCGGCACUAGGCGAUACAUGGGUGGCACUCCACAAUUUCUAGUGCCAGUCGACCCAGACUUGUGCCAUGUUCGGUCACCCAACCAGCACGAUAUGGCGUGAGGGGCAAAAGGCGAUGCCUGCAGUAUGCUAAUUAUUGGUUUUAGUAUUGUAACUAUUACCAAUUAAUUUGAGUCAGGAUUGAACUCAUAUUAUUGGAUUGUUCUGGCAUGUUUUGGCAUUUCAUAAUACUACAAUUAUCCGGGUUCUCUAAAUUAAGCAUUUAUGAGCUAUUUGAAUUUCGGGUUUUCAUCCUGAAAAUUAGAUUUUGAUCGGUGUCAUUAUACGAGUUAUUUUUACAAUAGCUUAUUGAUUUUGAUUUUGGAUCUUCAUGGGCUAACUAGCUUUAUUAAAAAUGCCAUGACCCUUUAGGGCCCUUUAUACGACACUACCAUUAUCAGUAUCCCGUGCCAAAAAUGCAGGAAUCUCCAUUCUAUUCUGAGCUAACGAGCAACUAUAAACCACAAAAUAGUGGUGGGAAGGGUGACACAGAUUAGUCUCUUUCAUCCGCCAUUCACACAUGAGGCAUAUUAUAAAUUUGAGCUUGUUCUACUCAUAUGACAGUUAAUUUGUUGAAAUUUACUAUCCUAUUGCUCUUUCAGUUGGACAUCUAUUUUUUAGUUAGAUUGAUGAGAAUGUAUCCUGGUUAUUUGAUGAAUUACAUUUUGUUGUCCUGUUAGUUCAGCUUGCCAUCGUAUGGUGCUGUAUUUGAGUUAGUUUGGUAAGUAUACAUGCUAGUUAUUUGUCGAGUUUUUUUUCCAAAUCCUGCUAGUUCGUUCUGCUAUACUAGACAUCAUUGUUUGAAUUAGAUUAAUGAGUCUAUAUCCUGCUUAUCUGCUGAAUCUUAUUUUGCUGUCUUGCUAGUUCUGACAUCUAAUUUUCUGUUAGUUAGAGUAUAUAUGCCGGGAAUUUGUCGAAUCUUGUGUUUCUCUCCUGGUAGCUCAGUUUGUCAUCCUGGACAUCUCUUUAUUUUGGAGUUAGAUUGAUGAUUAUGUAUACUGGUGGUUUGUUGAAUCUAACUAUGCCGCCCUUCGGUAUACGAUCCUAGACACUUUCUUUCAGUUAGUCUACUCAGUAUAUAUGCUGGUCCUUUGCUGUAUUUUCUGCUCCUCUCUCGCCAUUCAGUUUGCUAUCCUGUGCAUGUACUUCGAGUUAGUUUGCUCGUAUGUGUUGGUUAUUUGCUGAAAACCAAUUCAAUCUCGACCCUUUAUCCUCCAGCCUAUACCAUUGCGAUAAUGUAAGCCCACAAAAAAGAGAGCUAGUAACAUUGGGAAAGGCAGCAUGGAUUCGAACUGUUGCGUCGACCAUGCCUUACAUAAGUUAUCUUUUAGUCUGUGCUCAAUCGAUUCAUAUCAUUGUUGAAUUACUGAAUCUCCUUUUACCGUCCUGCUAGGUUGUCAUUCUAGACAUCUAUGUUUGAGCUGGAUUGAUGAGCAUAUAAUCUGCAAAAAUACGAGGCUGGGGGUCCUGGUAAUAUAGGCAUGGAUGCGAGGAUCUUUCCUUGCAGGCGUCUCAUAAGUAACAUUGGGAAGGGUGGCACAGAUUCCACCUGUUGCAUCCACUAUGCCGUGCAUUAAUUAUCGUUUAGCCGGUGCUGAUUGUACCCAUCUUAUUGUUAAAUUACUUAGUUUGCUAAUAUGUGUUGGUUAUCCGCUGAAAACCAAUUCAAUCACGACCCUUUAUCCUCCAGCCUAUACCAUGCGAUAAUGUAAGCCCACAAUAAGAGAGCUAGUAACAUUCGGAAGGGUGGUAUGGAUUCGAAUUGUUGCAUUGACCAUGUUGUACAUAAGUUUAUCUUUUAGUCUGUGCUCAAUCGACUCAUAUCAUUGUUGAAUUGCUGUA